UAAAAUAAUAAGGUUGAAAUGCAAAAAAAUAUUCAAAGACUUGCACACACACUGCUGAAACUGAGCUGUUGGUGGCCAGGCCGCUUUCCCAUGUGACGGCCUAGGUGUUACUUACCAGCCAGCCUGGGAGAGCUUGAAACCAGCGAUGGAAGGUGGGGGGGCUCAGGGUGGCGAUGCUGGUGGUGGUACGGGUCCGUGUAGAAUGCAUUAUUUAAAAAGGGCAUGCCAAGUCAGAUACUAGCCGAAGGCCACAUAGAAUGAUCCCACUCUGUGAAGUUAAGUGGGGUGUAUAUUCUGUCGCCUCCUGGCCGAAUGGGCAGACACCACCACACACCGAGGCUGUUGAUGACGGCCUUUCUCCAAGCAGUUUGCACUGAGUCACAGACAUGCUCCUGUACAUUUUCCAGCAUCUCUGAGUUUGCAGGUGCACAGGGAAGGGGGUGGGGAGAGGGGUGUUAGGGCCUGCUGCCCUAGUUUAGACCUGGGGAGACUGUGCACCCCCGCAGAGGGAAGUCAAGUUCUAGGCAACACUUUCCCAUACAACUCAGCUGCAGGCUGACUGCUGCUGCAGGGGGGCUGCAGGCUGCUAUCAUCUCCAGAGAUAGGGGGCUUACUGGCCAACAGAGUGGUGAAAGGACACUUAGUGUCGCUUGAAGAAAUUCCCCAGGACACUGAAGAGUGUCUGGAAACAGACACCCAGGAGGGCUCUGCCACUUAACAAGCCUGGCAAGGGAACGUGACUCACGUCUCUAAGUUUAUAGUUUGUGUGGCCCUCGCAAACUCAGCAGUUCUAGGGGAUAUGCUAAGAAGAGAUUCCUAGUCUCCUCAGAGCUGCCUGCAUACCAGCAGCCUUUCCUAGAGCUUCUUACUCUCCAACUGAGUCUUAUAUGGGGAGAGAGUUCUGUGAGGAAGCGGUCGGUGCAAACCUGGUCUCUUAGUGUGUGGCUAACUAGCACAGGAGAGCAGGAGGAAUUCAAUCUCGGGCACAGGAGACUUGGCUUGCUCUCCUCAGUGGCCUUGUCUUUCUGAGUUUCUGAGCGAGUUCCCUCCUUUGCAAAAUAAGAGGGUUGAUCUCUACCAUCUCUCAGCUCUAACCCUCAGAGUGCUGGUGAAAUGAGACAUGUAAAAUGUGAAAAUUAUAAAGUAUGAUUUUAAAAAAUAUGUCUCAGAAAAUAUUUAUGGUCCUCACAGUUGAGAAAUGUGCCAAGGCAAUCAAUGUAAGUCCAACUCCAAGAUUUGUAGCAAACCAUGAAAGAGGAUUUUGGGGUUCCCAGUCAGGUCUAGAGCCACCACCAGAAAACUACGAAGCCCUUUGCUUCUGAAUCAAAUCACCCCAAACCAAAUCCUCUCUCCUUCUUCACCUGCCCUGGGUGGGAGGGUCACACUUUUUCUUGAAGAUUCUGAGGGGUAUGGAAGCUUGCCUCGCAAGUUGGAACAGGAAAACCUUUUUCUGCUUAAACUUCAGGCCAAACACACUUUUCAGAGUUGCUACAGCCCACAUUUUGUAUUUUGCUUUAAAUUUCCAAGAUCUAGCCAGAAAAUGGGAAAGAGAGGUGGGUCUUGCCAUUCUUAUUUUGCAACAGUGCCUCCCCGCCCUCCUCCCCAGAGUGCACGAACUCUUCCUCCUCCUUUGCAGGUAAACAAACACCUGAGCUGGGAAGGAAAACUACCUGGUAGUCUGCAGGGAAUGCCUGCAAGACAAGGCAAGGGAGGGGUUGGAAGCAGGGCCAGCUUUCCUGCCAGCUGAAAGCCUACUUUUGUUUGAACCCCAUCCCAGUCCUCACCUACCACCCCUUGAGAAGGAGGGGCCAUAUCAGGGAAGGUGUGACUUCCCCAAGGGGCCAUUCCUGAAACAAGGUGGGACCUGAAAGCUGUAGGUGCAGAAAGCCCGUGGUGGUGUCCUUUCCGCCGUGUCUCUUGGGCCCCGAACGUGGGGGGAAGGAAGGAUCUCCUGCUUCACCCCGUUCGGGUUGGUUUGUGCUGGAAUGCCACGCGUUGCGAAGUGUCUCAGUCACCAGGCGUUCACAAGAACCAAAGCGAUUUCUACAUGACGACAUCAUGGCAGGAGGCUCACUUACUAUCCUUGACCUCCAGGUCUCCAGGGCAACCACUGCUAGGACGUCACUGGUACCAGAUUGUGUCCCUUAAAGGCCACACUACAGCAAGGGCAGAUAAACAAUUUUGCGGCCAGUCACAUAGCAAACUCAUUCUCAAAUGAGGGCUGAUGAGUUAGGAUGACAUAAGUGGGUUUUUUCCACUCUCUUCCACAUUCUGGCCCAGAAUUCUGGGCCUAAAGCAUGGUCUAAGAAUGUACUUUGAGAUGUGAAAUA